UUCGUAGGCGGUUUAAUAAGUCAGUGGUGAAAGCCCAUCGCUCAACGGUGGAACGGCCAUUGAUACUGUUAGACUUGAAUUAUUAGGAAGUAACUAGAAUAUGUAGUGUAGCGGUGAAAUGCUUAGAGAUUACAUGGAAUACCAAUUGCGAAGGCAGGUUACUACUAAUGGAUUGACGCUGAUGGACGAAAGCGUGGGUAGCGAACA
rnacentral:rRNA from 1 species